AUUCCAGCUCCGCAGGUAUAUAUCUAUGCUGCUGCGGUUAAAAAGCUCGUAGUUGGAUCUGCGUGCUCGGAACUGGUUGGCUCACUGAGUUCAAACUGGUCUCCGGCGCUUUAUUUGCUGGUUUUCCCUUGAUGCUCUUAACCGGGUGUCUCGGGUGGCUAGCGUGUUUACUUUGAAAAAAUUAGAGUGCCCAAUACAGGCGCAAAGCCUUGAAUAGUGGUGCAUGGAAUAAUAGAAUAGGACCUCGGCUCUAUUUUGUUGGUUUUCGGAACACGAGGUAAUGAUUAAGAGGGACAGACGGGGGCAUUCGUAUUGCGACGUUAGAGGUGAAAUUCUUGGAUCGUCGCAAGACGGACGACUGCGAAAGCAUUUGCCAAGAAUGUUUUCAUUAAUCAAGAACGAAAGUUAGAGGUUCGAAGGCGAUCAGAUACCGCCCUAGUUCUAACCGUAAACGAUGCCAACUAGCGAUUCGCAGGCGUUAAACAACGACCUUGCGGGCAGCUUCCCGGAAACGAAAGUGUUCCGGUUCCGGGGGAAGUAUGGUUGCAAAGCUGAAACUUAAAGGAAUUGACGGAAGGGCACCACCAGGAGUGGAGCCUGCGGCUUAAUUUGACUCAACACGGGAAAACUCACCCGGCCCGGACACCGUAAGGAUUGACAGAUUGAGAGCUCUUUCUUGAUUCGGUGGGUGGUGGUGCAUGGCCGUUCUUAGUUGGUGGAGCGAUUUGUCUGGUUUAUUCCGAUAACGAACGAGACUCUGGCCUACUAAAUAGUGGGCGGAUUCUUUCUGUCCGCAACACUUCUUAGAGGGACAAGCGGUGUUCAGCCGCACGAGAUUGAGCAAUAACAGGUCUAUGAUGCCCUUAGAUGUCCGGGGCUGCACGCGCGCUACACUGAAGGAAUCAGCGAGCUUUCUGACCUUGCCCGAAAGGGCUGGGUAACCCGAUGAAAAUCCUUCGUGAUUUGGAUAGGGACUUGCAAUUAUUUCCCUUGAACGAGGAAUUCCCAGUAAGUGUGGGUCAUAAGCUCGCGUUGAUUACGUCCCUGCCCUUUGUACACACCGCCCGUCGCUGCCCGGGACUGAGCCGUUUCGAGAAGAACAGGGACCGUCGUUGAAGGGCCCUAACGGGCUUUUCUCUAAUAGAAACUGUUUUAAUCGCAGUGGCUUGAACC
rnacentral:rRNA from 1 species